AGGGGGACCUUCGGGCCUCUUGCCAUCAGAUGUGCCCAGAUGGGAUUAGCUAGUAGGUGGGGUAAUGGCUCACCUAGGCGACGAUCCCUAGCUGGUCUGAGAGGAUGACCAGCCACACUGGAACUGAGACACGGUCCAGACUCCUACGGGAGGCAGCAGUGGGGAAUAUUGCACAAUGGGCGCAAGCCUGAUGCAGCCAUGCCGCGUGUGUGAAGAAGGCCUUCGGGUUGUAAAGCACUUUCAGCGAGGAGGAAGGUGGUGAGCUUAAUACGCUCAUCAAUUGACGUUACUCGCAAAAGAAGCACCGGCUAACUCCGUGCCAGCAGCCGCGGUAAUACGGAGGGUGCAAGCGUUAAUCGGAAUUACUGGGCGUAAAGCGCACGCAGGCGGUUUGUUAAGUCAGAUGUGAAAUCCCCGGGCUCAACC
rnacentral:rRNA from 1 species